rnacentral:rRNA from 1 species
UACGAAGGGGGCAAGCGUUGUUCGGAAUUACUGGGCGUAAAGGGCUCGUAGGCGGCCAACUAAGUCGGAUGUGAAAUCCCCAGGCUCAACUUGGGAACUGCAUCCGAUACUGGAUGGCUUGAAUUCGGGAGAGGGAUGCAGAAUUCCAGGUGUAGCGGUGAAAUGCGUAGAUAUCUGGAGGAAUACCGGUGGCGAAGGCGGCAUCCUGGACCGACAUUGACGCUGAGGAGCGAAAGCCAGGGGAGCAAACGGG